UGAUUACAAGUGUUAAAGGGUCACGGGUAGCGGGACCCCUAUGGAUCCCCAUGGAUACUAGUAAGCUGGUAAAUAAGGAAAAAUAUGUUGUGUAAUGAUUGAGAUGCAAAAGGCGUGAUAAGUAUUCUGUUAUACAGUUCCUAUGAUUUCAUGAUGAUGAUAAUAUUAUUGCUUUCGUAUAUUAUUUUAUGAAUUUCACCGAGGUAAGUGAAUAGUAA
rnacentral:lncRNA from 1 species